AGGUACAUGCUUUGAGCAUUUUUAGGUAGAGCUGACUAUCUGUGUCUAUCCUGGAGACUCUGCAGGAAGAACCAGGGAGCAGCCAGCAGUACCGCAGCCCAGCAUUGCUUUAGUCCAUUGGGCUUGGCUUUGGAUGCAAUUUGAACAGCCACUGUCCAGGAAUGCCCUGUGCUGAUUGGGUGGAAGAAGUCAUCUGAGGAUCAUUCAGACCACUGGCUUCAGAAUCAUCUGAGAAGCUUGUUUCCAAGCAAAUUCCUUGGGCCCUCAUCAAUGCUCCUGUAUCCAGAUCUCUAGUAAUCUACAUUUCUAACAAGCUCCCAGGCAAUUCCCAUCCUCCCCAAAGACCGAGAGCAUCCAAGACUCCUAUGGAGAUAGUGGGUGCAGGUAGAUGUGAAUGGGGCGCAGUUUCUCCCGUGGAACCUCAUGAGAGUUAAGUCCUAAUUAAGGCACAUGGGCAUCUCUCAUUUUCUGCCAGGAAAACAGGGUUGAUGUCUGGUGGACUGAGGAGCCAUGGUGGUAUCUGCCAUGCCCAACAGUGAGUCAAACAAAGUGUUCUCUCUCAGGGUUAUAGCAGCCUAGGCCAGGGUGUGGCUCCUCUGUUUUUUGGCUCAUGGGCUUCCUCCAGGAGGCCACAUUCUGGAGAAAGCAGGUCAGUUGGUGUCUAGUAGAUGUGGCAGUCAUUGGGAAUUUCCAGAAGUAACCACGGAGAUGGGGAAGAUACAAGGUCCUUUAGAGGGGUACCUGAGGCCAAUGGGGUUGCUAGGCUCAGCGUUAAUGUUAACCUGCCAUUAAGUUACUAUCAUUACACAAAAUUUGCAAAACAGCAGGAAAGCAUCACAUAUAAUACCUCUAUCCUGGCACUUUUGUGGCUUUGGUGUACACACCGGGAGUCCCAUCCGUUGGUAGAUCUAGGUGGAGACAUUCUUUCUUGUUUCCUAGCUCUGUCCAGAUCUAUCAAUUCAGAUGCUCAUUCCUUUUCCCUUUAUGGAAGAGCCAGAGAUCCCUUCAGUUGGCAGAGUAGUUGGAGUCAUCCCAAGUGGAAGUACCCUGGUGUUUGCUGCCACCCAGGCAGUGCUGGGGAGGUGCCGUGGGCAUCUGAGUCAGUGCCCUGUCCCACAGCCAACAUAGGCAUCAACUCUCCAUGUCCCUGCUGUGGCUGUAUAGAUGUGAAGCAUGGGAGUGGGUGGGUGUGUGUUUGGGGCAUCUGGGAGGAUGGGCCAUGUUGGAAAACUUCAGCUAUUCCCAGAGAGACUGAGAUCUGAGUCUGUUCCUUGGGGUGGAAUUGAACAAUGAAAGACCAGAUGGACAGUUUCCUUUGCAUGUGUGGAAAGGGAUCAUCACUCAAGCAGGUUUUGGCUUCCUGUCAUCAGGCUUCCCCCCGCAAUUCCUUCCACAUAAAAGAAGCCUUGGAAUCAGCUGAAGUGCCAUGAAGUAAACUAGAGCUUCAGAGCUUCAGAUUUCUAGAAAACCAGGUUCCCAGAUGGUAUGUGUGUGUGGAGAGAAGGUAGUUGUGGGGCAGAGGGCAUCAUGAGCUUUGGAACUCUGGAUGACCCAGAAUGGGUCUUCCAUCUUAAAGAAAUGUCUCUCUAAUCUAGAUGGUCAACUCUCUCUGGAUACAGACAUUUACUUUGGCCUUUGAUUACAUGAAUUAUUAGAUAGAACCCUGCUUAUCGUUUUAGGAUUUUAUUAGUAACACUUUUUACUGUACUUAAAAUCAAUUGCCGGAGAACACCUUAGUAUCUUCUGGAUAUAAAUGCAGGAAAAUAUUCCAUUAGGGCAUUUAAUACAGUUUUGGAGGCACCAUUAUAUGCAGUCUGUGUCCAGUGGAAGAUAGGGAAUUUAUUCAGUGACUGAAAUCUGUGUGAAUUAUUAUUUUUCCCACAGAGCAUAUUUAUUUCUUUUUGACAGUGUUUAAGGUUAUGGACUCUAUUUCUAUCUCACAAAAUACAGCAGUAUACAAUAAAAUCAUAGACAUAGUCCAAAUAAAUGCACUCAUUUUCUUUAGACAAGGAUUCCCAUUUCAAUAACUGUAGGAAUUGAGAAUGUUUAACAUUCUGAGAACAUGCUAAGCUGAAUUUAAGUGAAAGAUGAUCCCCGGUUCUUUCAUUCUUGCUUUAAAAAUAAACUACAUAAUUAAAUGGCUAUAGAUACUUCUUUUGUGGGGAGAAAAACAGCAGUCAGAUUUUUUUGCAAUCAUGCCAACAGGGCAGGAGUUUUCCUAACCCUUUGGCAAAAUAGAGAAUCAAUACCAAUCAGAAAAAAUGCUAACAAAAGGGAAAAUAUCAUGGGAGCCACAGGCGAUAAAAGAUUUAAAAUGUGAAUGAAACAUCGCAGGUCAGCAUUAAAAUAGAUGGUACAUUUCUCUGCCAAGGAAAAACAUCCAAACUCUAACCAGAGGCGUAAAAACAGACCUAAUUGCAUGAAGGGGCCAAACAGAGAGCCCCAGACCAACCACUUCAAGUCCCCCAGGGACAUUGGCUCCCUGUAUUUGUAUUUGGAAUCAGACAUUUCUCCUUACUUAAAAAAAAAAAAAA